AUUUUAUCGUUAGACUGCCUCCGUUUGACUGUAGAUGUCACUUGAAUAGUUUCACUGAUUUUCAGUGGUAAUAUCAGUAUUAGGAAGCCAAGUUUAAUAUAAAUAUGAGCGCGAAUAUCAUUGUGGCCUUUGAUAAUAUUUUACGUUUUCCUGUCUAGCAUUGAUCGUUGAGUGUGUUUGUUUGGCUGGUAUAAGGAAUGCCACAAUAUCCCUAACCUAAGAGAACAGUUUCAUGUUUAUGUAUUCUUGGACUUAAAACCCAAUAAGAAGGCAAUAUGAAGUAUUCUACUUCUCCAUCGACCAGUCGUUGCACAUCACCUAUGUUGCUGCAUUCUGGUACGAUGUUACCUACUCCAGUAACUUAUAGACGCAACUGUAUGGGAGCUGCUACAAAAUGUUAUAAAUAUUUGAGAAAAUUGCUGAAGUUUGAUCAAAUGGAUUUUGAGUUUGCUUCUUGGCAAAUGAUAUAUCUUUUCACAGCGCCGCAGAAGGUGUACAGGAAUUUUCAAAGUAGAAAACAGACUAAAUCACAAUUCGCAAGGGAUGAUCCUGCCUUUGUUGUCCUUUUAAGUUUCUGGCUGUGCAUCUCAUCCAUAGGAUUUGCUAUACUUUUGGGACUAGGAUUCUUCCAGUUUUUUAAAUUUCUUUUUUAUGUCAUCCUAGUAGACUGCAUAGGAACUGGAAUAAUCGUCGCCACACUUUUUUGGUUUAUUACAAACAGAUACUUGAGAGUCGAUCGAACACAGGAUGUAGAAUGGGGUUAUGCAUUUGAUAUACAUUUAAAUGCCUUCUUUCCACCUCUAAUUAUCCUUCAUUUCUUACAGUUGUUUAUGUACAAUGGUCUAAUAAAAUACGUAGGAUUUGGAUCAAUCUUCCUUGGAAAUACUUUGUGGCUAAUUGCUGUUAGCUAUUACAUUUACAUCACAUUCUUGGGCUACACCAGUAUACAGAUAUUACACAGGACUCAGUUAAUACUAAUGGCAUUACCAUGUGCUCUGGUUCUGUAUAUUGUUACUCUGGCCAUUGGCUUCAAUAUUAGCAACAUGGUAAUGAUCUUUUACCAUGAACGAGUCAUGUAAAUUAAGGAAACAAUGAAGCCUACACAUAACUAUUUGAUUGAAUACAACAAACCAUUGACAUAUAGCACAGACUACGCACAAGCAUAGAAAAACAGCCGGCUGAAAGAGAUAGCGAUUGGUUGCGGUCAUAGAACUUAUACUCCUGGAAGAGGAAUGGCGCAGUUAAAAGUGGAGCCAACAUGUUGAAACAGAGAUAUAUCUUUUUCUCACUUCGUAACGUUCAGUUCUCCUCACUGCGCAAUUUGACUGACAUAACAAACCACUGAACUCUAACCAUACUGGAAUCCUUCCUUCCUUUCCUUAUGGCCGAUUCCUCCAAUGACGAGAUGUGCUAAUACCAUACUGAAAUCCGUACGCCUGUAUUCGGAAGUAACCACUGAACUGUAACCAUACUGGAACGCGUACGGCAUUGAUGGGGGCGAGCAGAGUGAGAUAGCAAGGACACAGGCGAGUGUAGCAGCCUGUCUGUAUUAUAGACUGUACAGUCUCUGAAAAAGAUGUAAGCUGAGAUAAAGCAGUGCGCACUGGGAGGACUAACAAUAAGUCACCAUAACGUAACCUGAAAUAGUGGCACAUGUAUUUUAUUUCGAAGCUGAUAUAGCAGAGGCAAUUUUGCAAAUUGUUAAAUUACGGGACUACAAAAUGCGUGGAAAACCAUCAGCUGAAACGCCCCUUCGACUCCAAGCCCAAUAUUGGGCUCGUUUCCCCAAAAGUAUAGAUCCGACACCUCGAAAUAAGCAUCCAACAAGAAUGUGCAAAGUCUGUUAUAAACGUAAAAUACGAAGCGCAACAAAGUGGGAAUGCUCGAAAUGACAAGUGGCUUUACAUCUGUCCUAAUGUUUUAAGACAUAUCAUACCAUGAAGGAUUUCUAGAGUUGCGCAGUGUUACUACAUAUUUGAGAGCACCAAACUACAUUCGAAAACUGCUAUACAUUUUCUACAAUAAUAUAUAAACAGCUAUUAUAUACUACAUUAUUAUAUACAAAAUAUAAUAAAUUUAUAAUAUCUAUAAACGUAAAAGCAUUAGAGUUUACUUCCUCAACUCCUGUAUCGCGUAAAAUUGACUAUAUCACAGAUAUUGCGGGCAUCUACAUUUCGGAUCGUAUUGCGACUGUUUACAAACAUCAGUCUGGUCUGUUUAGCGCGCGUUGAUGCGGACUGCUUAAGCCCGAGUUUCGUCGAGCUAAAUGGCACGGGAAGGGGUUAAGAUAAGGGAUUCAGCAAACGGGGUUCAUUGUGAUCUCCUGUGGGUACUGAAUCAUUAUCAUCCGAACCAAUAGCUGGCCCACGGUCUUCGGACGCAUUGUGAAAUCUGCUGUAUUGUGGUUCCAGCUACCUCUCUCCAAUCCAAAAGGCUAGCAGAGAGAAUAAAGUAAACAAAAACACUUCUUGUCGCCUGUGGUAUUACAGGCAAUCUAGAGACAAUUGUAAAGCAUGUGUAUGGGUGUGAGAGAGACCAAAUAGAAU